AGUGAACGCUGGCGGUAGGCCUAACACAUGCAAGUCGAACGGCAGCACAGUAAGAGCUUGCUCUUACGGGUGGCGAGUGGCGGACGGGUGAGGAAUACAUCGGAAUCUACUUUUUCGUGGGGGAUAACGUAGGGAAACUUACGCUAAUACCGCAUACGACCUACGGGUGAAAGCAGGGGAUCUUCGGACCUUGCGCGAUUGAAUGAGCCGAUGUCGGAUUAGCUAGUUGGCGGGGUAAAGGCCCACCAAGGCAACGAUCCGUAGCUGGUCUGAGAGGAUGAUCAGCCACACUGGAACUGAGACACGGUCCAGACUCCUACGGGAGGCAACAGUGGGGAAUAUUGGACAAUGGGCGAAAGCCUGAUCCAGCCAUACCGCGUGGGUGAAGAAGGCCUUCGGGUUGUAAAACCCUUUUGUUGGGAAAGAAAAGCAGCAGGUUAAUACCCCGCUGUUCUGACGGUACCCAAAGAAUAAGCAACGGCUAACUUCGUG
rnacentral:rRNA from 1 species